GUUAUUUAAGUAAAUUUUGGUAACUGAAAUUUAUGCAUAUUGGAGCCAUGCAAGGGAAGACUGCCUGUACUGCACUACUUCAUAUCUGAGGGAACCAGAUUUACAGACCUCAAAGGAUGAUGAAUGGUGGAAGACGGGAAAUUGAUUCUGUUAACCCAGCCUAAGCGAUUUCCCACAAAGUGAGGGCCUGGAGCAGCCUUUGGAUCUGGUGAAUGGUUAGUACAUUUUCAAGACACCAUAUUAUGCUCUUCAGACCACUUCAGCUACUGUCAAGAACUCAACAGCUGUGUCAACUCUGCCUAAGGAGGGGAAUUUAGAAUGUGCAUCAUUUUGGCAAUAAA